GAGUUUGAUCUUGGCUCAGAUUGAACGCUGGCGGAAUGCUUUACACAUGCAAGUCGAGCGGCAGCGCGGGGGCAACCCUGGCGGCGAGCGGCGAACGGGUGAGUAAUACAUCGGAACAUGUCCAGUUGUGGGGGAUAGCCCGGCGAAAGCCGGAUUAAUACCGCAUGAGCUCUGGUGAGGAAAGCGGGGGACCGAAAGGCCUCGCGCGACUGGGUUGGCCGAUGUCCGAUUAGCUAGUUGGUGGGGUAAAGGCCUACCAAGGCGAUGAUCGGUAGCUGGUCUGAGAGGAUGAUCAGCCACACUGGGACUGAGACACGGCCCAGACUCCUACGGGAGGCAGCAGUGGGGAAUUUUGGACAAUGGGGGCAACCCUGAUCCAGCCAUUCCGCGUGAGUGAAGAAGGCCUUCGGUUGUAAGCUCUUUGUCCGGAACGAACGGAUGCGGUGAAUAUCCGCGUCUACUGACGGUACCGGAAGAA
rnacentral:rRNA from 1 species